CUUGCCUCAGCAGAAUACUAAAAUUGGAAAGAUAAAGAAAAGACUGGCACGGUUCCUAUAUAAGAACAACACAUAAACUCAUGAAGCAUUCUAUAUAUUA
ensembl:snRNA U6 U6 spliceosomal RNA